AAUAGAUACCCUGGUAGUCCACGCCGUAAACGUUGGGCGCUAGAUGUGGGGGACCUUUCCACGGUUUCCGUGUCGUAGCUAACGCAUUAAGCGCCCCGCCUGGGGAGUACGGCCGCAAGGCUAAAACUCAAAGGAAUUGACGGGGGCCCGCACAAGCGGCGGAGCAUGCGGAUUAAUUCGAUGCAACGCGAAGAACCUUACCAAGGCUUGACAUACACGAGAACGGGCCAGAAAUGGUCAACUCUUUGGACACUCGUGAACAGGUGGUGCAUGGUUGUCGUCAGCUCGUGUCGUGAGAUGUUGGGUUAAGUCCCGCAACGAGCGCAACCCUCGUCGCAUGUUGCCAGCACGUUAUGGUGGGGACUCAUGUGAGACUGCCGGGGUCAACUCGGAGGAAGGUGGGGAUGACGUCAAAUCAUCAUGCCCCUUAUGUCUUGGGCUUCACGCAUGCUACAAUGGCCGGUACAAAGGGCUGCGAUGUCGUAAGGCGGAGCGAAUCCCAAAAAGCCGGUCUCAGUUCGGAUUGAGGUCUGCAAC
rnacentral:rRNA from 1 species